UUACAGUCGAGUCCCGUUAUAUCAAGCAAGGCUCGAGAAAAGUAUUAUCGAUAUAUUCAUAUUUUGAUACAUUAUCAACAUGUCCACUUUGUUUACAAGAAAUGCAGUGAAAGGCGUGGAAUAAAUGCUAAAAAUAUAACAAAAUGGGCACCCAAAAGCCAGGCGAGUGGGCCAGUGCCCUUUUGGCCCGUUUCGAGGAUCAGCUGCCGAACCGAAUCGGAGCCUAUGGAACGCAGGCGAGGAUGAGCCAGGACCAGCUCGUGGCCUGUUUAAUCCACAUCUCUCGUUAUCGUUUCUCACUGGUCAUCUCUGGACUUACGAAAAUGUUGCAAAGGGUCAAUGAAGCGGCCCUUCAAAAUCGCCACGAACCGGAGCGUUGCUACUUCGAAUCCCUGGUCAUUAUACUGACCACACUGGAGCGCUGUUUGACCAACCAGACCAAGGACACCGCCCGCUUCGAGGAGGCCAUGAACGUGAAACUCUUGCUGCGGGAAAUCUCCCAGUUCGUGGACGUUCAGAGCGACAGUAAUCCAAAUGCUGCUCAACUGAAGGCUUUGGCAUCGAAGGUGCUCUUCGCCCUGUCCCAGAACCACUUCUCGGCCGUGUUUAAUCGCAUCUCGGCGAGAAUUCAGGAGCUGACCUCUUGCUCCGAGGAGAAUCCCGAUUAUAAUGACAUCGAGUUGAUACAGCACAUCGACAUGGACAUGAUUAAGCUCACAAAGCUGCUGCAGGAAACCAUUACAAAGUUUCGGUCCAAGCGAGCCCCUCCUUUGAUUCUGCUUUACUCGCUGGAAAAGGCCAUUUGGAACUGGAUUGAAUACCAUCCUCAGGAGUUCCAGGAUCUGCAACGGGGCACAAACCGCGAUAUAUCCACCUGCUGGGAACCCUUGAUGGACCUGGUAGAGUACUUUAAAUCAGAGAACAAAAAGAGCAAGACACUUGUGUGGCCACUACAAAUGCUAUUACUGAUUCUGAAUCCCUCCUGCCUCGAGGCCACUGUAAACGAACUCCAACAGUCGGAGAAGGAAAAAGAGAAGGAGAAAGUGCCCUCGAAGUCAACCCAAUCAACUUCGCGGGACAAGGACUUUUCUGCAAAACAGUUUAUCGAAAGUAUUAAACGAGGAUUGGGCCAGCACUCGCCCUCCAAACAGGUCACUGAGUCUUCCGCCAUCGCUUGUGUAAAGCUCUGCAAAGCAUCUACAUACAUCAACAUAAACGACUCCAAUAAUGUGGUAUUUAAGCUGGUGCAGUACUUCAUUAAUGACCUCAAGGCGCUACUUUUUAAUCCGGCCAAGCCCUUCUCCCGUGGUCAGGGCUACAACUUUGCGGAUAUCGAGCUAAUGAUUGACUGCUGGGUAUCCUGUUUCCGCAUCAAUCCGCACAACAUUGAGGCUUUGAAAGUGUGUCUGAAUCUGUCAUCGCCACAGGCCUAUCACUUUGUUAUUGUGUGCUCGCUGCUGAGGUUGGCCCACAUUUAUGUGGACUUUCGUCUGCAAAAUAAGAAUCCCUUUCGCAUCGUCAACCAGCCACGUUUGUCCUGGUGGCCGCAAACCGAUGUCGUCCACUACCGCUCUGCGGAGCUGCGAGCUCUGUUCACGGAUACCCUCAAUAAAGCCACCCAAGGUUACAUAGCCCAUACUCCUCUGAGAUAUAUAACCUCGCUUACGCUGAAAUCGAAGGACACCCAAAAGGGCUUGACCAGGGCUGAAGAAGGUCCUGCCCACAAGAUGCUACUGUUGCUCCUCGUUCGACUGAUCCAUGCUGAUCCCACCCUCCUGUUGAAUACUCAAGGAAAGGUGGCCCACGAGGUUCAAAGCUCGACUUUGGAGCUUAUUAACGGACUAGUGAGUCUGGUUCACCAGACCACCAUGCCAGAUGUGGCCCAGGAAGCCAUGGAGGCGCUGCUUGCUUUGCAUGCCCCGGAAAAAAUUGAAGUUUGGAACCCGGAAGCACCGAUCAACACCUUCUGGGACGUUAGUUCCCAAGUUCUGUUCUCAAUCUCGCAGAAACUCAUCCAACACCAGAUUGCCAACUAUACGGAUGUACUGAAGUGGUUGCGCGAGAUCUUAAUCUGCCGCAAUACCUUCCUUCAGCGUCACAAGGACUAUGCCCACGUGGGCAGCCAAAUCGCAAUCUGCAAGCAGGCCCACAUCAAGAUGGAGGUCGUAUUUUUCAUGUACCUGUGGAGUGUUGACUUGGAUGCAGUCCUAACAUCGCUCUCGUGCUUCGGACUGCUUUGCGAGGAAGCUGAGAUUUGCUGCAGCUCUGACGAGCUGACAGUGGGCUUCAUCAUGCCCAACUAUCACAUUUACCAGGAGUUGGCACAGCUGUCCUCCUCUGCCACCGACACUCGUAUUUGCUUCUUCGACAACACCCAUGGCAACGUGCUCAGCCGACUCACGCUGCAGAAACGAAUAAUGACCCUACUACGUAAAAUCGAACACUGCGUCCAUGGUGUCCAACCUGCCUGGGAGGAGACCUUCCGCAACUGGGAAGUGUCCAGUAAGGUGCUGCAAACCUAUCCAAAGUGCAAGGGCGAGGAUGCGCAGGCAGAAGUCUUUCAUCGUGGCAUGGGGAAGCGGCGAGCCAGUCACCAAAGCUCAGAGCACGACCUGGAGGAACAGAUCAAUGAGUGGGCCAACAUGACGUGGUUCCUGCUGGCCCUCGGCGGCGUUUGCCUUCACAAGCGCAGCAGCAGCCGCCAAAUGCUUCUGCAGCAAUCGCAGAACAAUGUUUCAUUGGGUUCGCUGGCACAGAACUCACUUUAUUCCAGCUCCACAAGUUCCGGACACGGAUCGUUGCAUCCCAGUACAGUGUCCUUGUCCACUCUUCCGCCAGCUCCGCCCCAAGACGUCAGUUAUUGUCCAGUUACGCAAUUUAUUGGACAACUGCUGCGCCUUUUGGUUUGCAGUAACGAAAAGAUCGGCUUAAAUAUCCAAAAGAAUGUGAAGGAACUCGUAGGCGAGGAGAUGUCCUCCCAACUGUAUCCCAUUCUCUUCGACCAAGUCCGCGCCAUCGUCGAAAAGUUCUUCGACCAGCAAGGACAGGUUAAUGUAAACGUUACGGACAUCAAUACCCAGUUUAUAGAGCACACCAUCUACAUAAUGAAGUCGAUCCUCGACCCCAAGGCCAGCAAGGAUCCCAACAGCGAACAACCCGCUCCCUCGGAGCACCUGGGAGUGACCAGCAUUGAGGGAAUGAUGCUAGGAAUAGUUCGGUAUGUCCGUCACCUCGACAUGACUGUCUAUGCCAUAAGGAUUAAGACAAAACUGUGCCAGCUGGUGGAGGUUAUGAUGAAACGUCGCGACGAUCUUGCCUUCCGCCAGGAGAUGAAGUUUCGAAACAAGCUAGUGGAAUACCUGACCGACUGGGUAAUGGGAACAUCUCAUCAGAUUGCGCCACCGAGCUCAGCGGAUGCGUCCAUUCUCACCAACACAUCGCUGAUCUUCCGGGACUUGGACCAAGCAUGCAUGGAAGCAGUGGCCGCUUUACUCCGGGGUCUACCUCUGCAGCCGGAGGAAUCGGAUCGCGGAGAUCUCAUGGACGCCAAAAGCGCCUUGUUUCUGAAGUACUUUACCCUUUUCAUGAACCUCUUGAACGAUUGCAUUGACAGCUCGGAGGCCGAAAAGGAGAUGAAUAAUACACCACUUCUGCCACCCCGUCCUCGUAUGGCGGCCGGGAAGCUGACAGCCUUGAGAAACGCCACCAUCCAGGCCAUGUCCAAUCUGCUAGGUGCCAACAUUGAUUCUGGCUUAAUGCACUCCAUUGAUUUGGGCUACAAUCCGGAUCUACAAACCCGAGCCGCUUUUAUGGAAGUGCUAACUCAAAUCCUCCAACAGGGCACGGAGUUCGAUACCUUGGCCGAGACUGUCUUAGCGGAUCGCUUCGAACAGCUGGUCCAGUUGGUCACGAUGAUCAGCGACAAGGGCGAGCUGCCCAUCGCCAUGGCAUUGGCCAACGUAGUGACCACCUCCCAAAUGGAUGAGCUGGCCAGAGUACUGGUCACUCUGUUCGACGCCAAGCACCUGUUGUCGCCGCUUCUGUGGAAUAUGUUUUACCGCGAGGUUGAGGUUUCCGAUUGCAUGCAGACGCUUUUCCGGGGAAAUUCGUUGGGCAGCAAGAUCAUGGCUUUUUGCUUCAAGAUUUACGGAGCGAGCUACCUGCAGAUGCUGCUGGAACCAUUGAUUCGCCCGCUACUUGAUGAGCAGGAGGAGACCUGCUUCGAGGUGGAUCCUGCCCGAUUGGAUCCCACGGACGACAUUGAACAGCACCGGAACAACCUGAUUGCGCUCACCCAGAAGGUUUUCGACGCUAUCAUAAACUCCUCCGACCGGUUCCCGCCUCAACUCCGCUCCAUGUGCCAUUGUCUAUACCAAGUGCUUAGCAAGCGUUUCCCGAACCUCCUUCAGAACAACAUCGGUGCCGUGGGCACUGUUAUAUUCCUACGGUUUAUAAACCCUGCCAUUGUCUCACCACAAGAGCUUGGAAUUGUUGACAAGCAGGUCCAUAGCUCGGCCAAACGAGGGCUUAUGCUGAUGUCGAAGAUCCUGCAGAAUAUUGCCAACCACGUGGAGUUCUCGAAGGAACAGCACAUGCUCUGCUUCAACGACUUUCUGCGCGAUCACUUCGAGGCCGGCCGCCGGUUCUUCAUCCAGAUCGCCUCAGAUUGCGAGACAGUGGACCAAACAUCGCACAGCAUGAGUUUCAUUUCGGACGCCAAUGUGCUGGCCCUGCAUCGUUUGUUGUGGACACACCAGGAGAAGAUCGGCGACUAUCUGUCCAGCAGCCGGGAUCACAAGGCGGUGGGAAGACGACCCUUUGACAAAAUGGCCACCUUGCUAGCAUACCUGGGUCCGCCGGAACACAAGCCCGUGGACUCCCACAUGAUGUUUAGUUCAUAUGCGCGCUGGAGCUCCAUCGACAUGUCCUCUACCAACUUUGAGGAAAUCAUGGUCAAGCACCAAAUGCAUGAGAAGGAGGAGUUUAAAACCCUCAAGUCCAUGAACAUAUUUUACCAAGCGGGCACCAGCAAAUCCGGCUAUCCGGUGUUCUACUACAUUGCCAGGAGAUACAAGAUCGGGGAAACGAAUGGAGACCUCCUUAUCUAUCAUGUAAUUCUCACUCUAAAACCCUUCUGUCACUCCCCAUUCGAAGUUGUUAUUGAUUUCACGCACACUUGCUCUGACAACCGAUUUCGCACAGAGUUCUUACAGAAGUGGUUCUAUGUCCUGCCCACAGUGGCUUAUGAAAACGUCCAUGCCGUGUACAUCUAUAACUGUAACUCGUGGGUGCGGGAGUACACCAAGUUCCAUGACCGCAUUCUGGCCCCACUUAAAGGCAAUAGGAAACUGCUCUUCCUGGAGUCGCCGAACAAACUCAGUGAUUUCAUCGAUGCGGAGCAGCAAAAGCUGCCUGGAGCCACGCUUUCCCUGGAUGAGGAUCUAAAGGUGUUCAGCAACGCCCUUAAAUUAAGUCACAAGGACACCAAGGUAGCCAUAAAAGUGGGUCCAACUGCCCUUCAGAUUACAUCUGCGGAAAAGACAAAAGUUCUAGCUCAUUCCGUGCUUUUGAACGAUGUUUACUAUGCCUCGGAAAUCGAGGAAGUGUGUCUGGUGGACGACAACCAGUUCACUCUGUCGAUAACUAACGAGAGUGGCCAGCUGAGCUUCAUCCACAAUGAUUGCGACAAUAUUGUCCAGGCCAUUAUCCACAUUCGGAACCGCUGGGAGUUGAGUCAGCCAGAUUCGGUGACAGUGCACCAGAAGAUUCGGCCAAAGGAUGUGCCGGGAACAUUGCUGAACAUGGCGCUUCUGAAUCUUGGAUCCUGUGAUCCCAAUCUUAGGACAGCCGCAUACAAUUUGCUUUGUGCGCUGACCGCCACUUUUGAUUUGAAAAUUGAAGGACAACUCCUCGAAACUCAGGGAUUGUGUAUUCCCUCCAAUAACACGAUCUUCAUUAAGUCCGUAAGCGAGAAACUGGCCACCAAUGAGCCACAUCUUACCCUAGAGUUCCUCGAAGAGUCGAUCCAGGGAUUCCAGCGCAGCACCAUCGAGCUGAAGCAUUUGUGCUUGGAGUACAUGACGCCCUGGCUAAAGAAUCUUGUCAAGUUCUGCAAGUCCAACGACGACUCCAAGAAGUUAAAGGUCUCUCAGAUUCUAGACAAGCUCAUAAACCUAACAAUUGAUCAGAAGGAGAUGUAUCCGUCGGUGCAAGCCAAAAUCUGGGGCUCAAUUGGCCAAAUACCGGAACUCAUCGACAUGGUGUUGGAUAACUUUUUGCAUAAAUCGAUCACUUACGGAUUGGGUUCCCCUCAAGUGGAAAUAAUGGCCGAUACGGCCGUGGCUUUGGCUUCUGCGAAUGUUCAGCUGGUGUCCAAGAAAGUCAUCACUCGCAUGUGCCGGGUAAUGGACAAGUCGUGCACCAAUCCCACCCAGUACCUGGAGCAGCAUAUGAUGUGGGAUGAUAUUGCCAUCCUAGGACGAUAUCUUCUCAUGUUGUCCUUCAACAAUUGCCUAGAUGUGGCUACCUCGGUGCCGUACUUGUUUCACACAAUAACGUUUCUGGUUUGUUCCGGAUCGCUGUCCAUGAGAGCCUCCACCCACGGCUUGGUGAUUAACAUCAUCCACUCUCUGUGCACCUGCACAAAUCCCUCCUUCUCGGAGGAGGCCCAACGCGUACUCCGGCUGUCGUUGGACGAGUUCUCGUUGCCCAAAUUUUACUUGCUAUUCGGCAUUAGCAAGGUGAAAUCAGCUGCAGUUACUGCCUUCCGCUCCAGCUGCCGCCAUCCCACAGACAAGUGGCUAGGAAACGAGCGAGUCACCCAACCCCUGCCGGCAGAUCGAGAACGUCUAUCGCUGCCCUCCCUGGAAGUAAUCACCGAUGCCCUGCUUGAGAUCAUGGAGGCCUGUAUGCGUGACGUCCCUGACUGUGAAUGGUUGCAGACAUGGACUUCCCUGGCCCGUAGCUUUGCCUUCUGCUACAAUCCGGCUCUGCAGCCCAGGGCUCUUAUUGUCUUCGGAUGUAUCAGCAAGAGUGUGACUGACCACGAAGUGAAGCAGUUGCUCCGCAUUCUGGUCAAGGCACUGGAGUCUUUUAAUGAUCUAAUCCUAAUCGAGGCUCUGGUGAUGUGCUUGACCCGAAUUCAGCCGCUCUUACGACCGGAAUCGCCCAUCCAUAGAGCACUCUUCUGGGUGGCCAUCUCAGUGCUGCAGCUGGAUGAGAUUACCCUUUAUGGAGCCGGUCUAGCUCUUCUCGAACAGAAUCUGCACACACUUAAGUCACAGGGCUGCUUCGACAAGAAGGAGACCAUUGCGGAGGUCAUGAUGAAAACCCGCGAGAAACUGGAGUGGCACUUCAAGCAGCUGGACCAUGCCGUGGGACUCUCGUUUCGCAGUAACUUCCACUUUGCCCUGGUGGGCCAUCUUAUCAAGGGCUUCCGUCAUCCAACUCCAACAACUGUUUCACGCACCUCCCGAGUCCUGACCAUGCUCUUGGGAAUCAUAGCCAAGCCUCUGCACCGGGACAAGUUUGAGGUGACACCUGAUAGUGUGGCCUAUCUGACGGCCCUGGUUGCCGUCUCCGAGGAGGUCCGCUCCCGCUGCCAUGUGAAGCACGCUCUGCCGCGUUGGCCCGCCGAGUUGACAGGCAGUGUGGAGAACGGAGAAGUAGCCAAUGGCGUUCAAGCUAUUGGCCAGCCGCUGUCACGUCGACAAAAGAGCUGGGACAUCCUUGAUCAGUCCGCUUUGCAGUUCGCUCGCCAGCACAAGGUCCCUACUCUUCAGAACGCUAGAGUUUUGUUCAAAACUCAACGGUCAUUCUCGGUGCCAACAACCAAAGAUCCAAACAAUGCUACCGGCAUCGAAGAACGUCAGGAACGCGGCUCGCGUUCUUCAGUGUCCAAUGAGUCGAAUGUGCUACUUGAUCCGGAAGUCCUACCCGACUUGUCCAUCCAGGCGUUGGUGCUGACAGUCUUGGCCACCUUGGUCAAGUAUUCCUCGGAUGAGGGAGAAACUAGGGUUUUGUAUCAGUAUUUGGCCGAAGGUUCAGUCGUUUUUCCCAAAGUGUUUCCAGUAAUCCACUCAUUGCUGGAUCAGAAAAUCAAUAAUAUCCUGUCAGUGUCACAUGAUCAGGUUGUCCUAAACUCGGUCCAAAAUAUAAUCCAGAAUAUGCUGGCCAGCGAAGAUCCCUCCCAACAACAGCUGCACUUUUUACAGAGUUGCGGAUUUGGCGGACUUUGGCGAUUCGCCGGUCCCUUUACCAAGUAUAAUAUGAUGGGAGAAUCCUCGGAGCUCUUUGUCAACUGUUUGGAGGCCAUGGUAGAGACCUGCUUGCCAGGCGACGAAUCGGCUCCGGUGCCACCCUCACCGCGUCCCUACAAUUUGAGCUCCAGCCUGAGUAGCCUGACCUUGGGCUCUCCCACGGACAAGGCAUUCUCAUCGGAAUCAUUAGAUUUUUAUGAAAAUUGCCCGGGCAGCGUCAGCAGCUUGCGACGCCCCUCACACAGCAAAUCACGCGCCAAACAUCGAAUUAACGACAGUCCAUCACAUUGAAAGAUCCACAGCUUAAACCCAAAGUAAAACUGCAACCCAAUCGAACAGCUACGGCAAAAAAAAAAUACUUUGAUAGCUAAAAAGCAACAGAAAAACACCAAUAUUUGAAAUACAUAUGUAUUUUGUAGUUAUCUAAGCUUUGCCUAAUCCAAACCAGAUCAUUGCCCAUCAUUGGAAUUGAUUCGAUUGUAGAAGUUAAAGACACAUGUUAAAAUUCAAUAUGCAUAUUGUUAAAUAGAAACGGAAUACCUAGGAAACUCCAAAUACCAAAACUGCAUGAAUAACAACUACAAACCCGCGCACUAGACGUACCACACUAAUCGCAAAAGUAAUGCGUUUCCUUAAUCUGUUUAAAAAGUGCUUUUAGAGAGACAGAGUGAAUGAGAACCAGAAAACCCACAGAAUUUCGUACAAAAUGAUAGAAUAUUUAUAUAUUGGUAUAUGUAUGUAUGUAUAGAAGGUCCAGAGAUGCCCGCGAAGUGCACCUGGGGAAAGUAAAUGGAGAAAGGCGCCAAGUGUAAAAAAAAAAUGUUUGUAUAUAAGUGUGUAGAAAGGAUGCGACCAAGAGUACUGAGCAGGCGGAAAGGGCAAGCUACCGCCGACGAGGAUAUCGAAUGGAAAUAUUUUUAAACAUUUUACGAUUGUACAUUUUUGUAAUCCGCAACUUAAACUAAGCACGUACACAAAGUUCACCAGUUCCUGAGCAGAUAAUUACAACCAAGCGAAACGAAGUUAACCGACAAGAGCGAGCAAAUCCAUCUUAUAAAUAGAAGGUCAAAUCAAAGGAAUCGAAAAAGAAAUGAAAUGAAAGCUUUAAACAAGCGGCAUGUCCGCUAACAUUAUUUGUAUUAUACAAGAAUCUCCUCUGAAAGUGUAUCGAACGGCAUUUAUUUUAAUUAUUAUUAUUAUUAUUAUUUUUACCCAAGUUCAUCAUACAUUAUUGAUUACUAAUUUAUUUCAUGAGCACAUUCUACAGGUAACUUUUAAAAACACCACACGAGUACACUACACGAAGAUCAAACUAACUACUGUUAAGCUAAUAAACUAUCCAGUGCGCUUUAAAAGUAAUUUAGUUAUAUAGGCACAAACGCUAAGAUUUUAAUCCUUAUAGCUCCAAGUAGGCAAAAAGAAUUGAAACGAAAUUUAAAUAUUACCAAAUUGUCAAACGCAACAAGUUUACCCGUUAAACCUAUUUUCUAGCACAAAAUUUUAGCACAUAUUUGUACUUGACGUUAUUAAUGGCGUUAUUAAUUAACCACAUGUUUUUUUUAAAACUAACUAGAUGAGCGAAACUAACCAAGUUAAUUUGAAUUGAAACUCUAAAUGUAUAUGUGUGUGUUGCUAUAUGUGUAUUAAACAAAUAUGUAUCAUUGUAUAUUACGAAAACUUAAAGAUAUUUAUGAAAUGUUAAUGUCUUCAAUUUAUCAAUGUACAACAAUAUCGAUCAAAAUAAUAUACUUUCAAUAAAAGUGUUACAAUA